UACAGAGGGUGCGAGCGUUAAUCGGAACUACUGGGCGUAAAGCGUGCGUGGACGGUUACAUAAGUCGGGUGUGAAAGCCCCGGGCUCAACCUGGGAAUUGCAUUCGAGACUGCGUAGCUAGGGUGCGGAAGAGGGAAGCGGAAUUUCGGGUGUAGCGGUGAAAUGCGUAGAUAUCCGAAGGAACAUCAGUGGCGAAAGCGGCUUCCUGGUCCAGCACCGACGUUCAGGCACGAAAGCGUGGGGAGCAAACAGG
rnacentral:misc_RNA from 1 species